CCUGGGCGGUGCUUUUAUCUGCGGGGGCGCGGGUCUGCCCCCCCCGCCCCUCAGGAGGGCCGGCGCUGCGGCGGGCGGUGAGGGAGGCGCAGUUCUUCUGAUCCAUACAUUUUGAUAUUCAGAAAUGGAGAAGGAAGACUGCAUUACCAUGUCACUUGAUGUUGAAAAGGGAGGGAAGGAAGAAAAAAAAAAGUGUGAGGAAGAGACAUGGAAGACAAAAGGACAAAAGGAUGACAAAGGGGAAGGCAGCCAAGCUAAAAAAGAGGAAUGAUGCAUGGGAAAGAGUUGGAGAGACAAGAGCAGGGGGUGAAUAUCACAGUAGGAAAACACCUUUUCUUCUAAAACUCCUCCUUAAGAUCUCUCUGUUCAAGGAACCUUCUGUGGGAAGGAAAUGAAGAUAAAAUGUCAAGAAGACACUUGCACAGACCUAUUUGAACAUACUUCUUGUCAGGAUACUAGUGCUUCUGAUCCUUUAAGGGCUGUACCUCUGCAACAGCACCAAGAUAUGCUUCAUCUCAGCUACAUAAACAGUGGAUAACAGGGGUCAGCAGAAGAAUUAUUGGUACUAAAACUGAUCUAAGCAAAGCUAAUGGAACAAAUGGAUUAUGCAACAAGUUUCCUUUCCUACUUUUCAGUGGUUUCAUCACUACCUAGCUACAGACUUAAAGUUUUGAAGAAAUAAAAUUUUGCUGAAGUAGAACCAA